rnacentral:rRNA from 1 species
AAUUACGGCCAUAUCUACUGUAAAGCACCGGAACUCGUCAGAUCUCCGAAGUUAAGCCAGUAAGAGCCUUGUUAGUACUAAGAUGGGAGACCGCUUGGGAAAGCAGGGUGCUGUAAUUUUUA